rnacentral:rRNA from 1 species
CCUACGGGUGGCUGCAGUGGGGAAUAUUGCGCAAUGGGCGAAAGCCUGACGCAGCGACGCCGCGUGAGGGAUGAAGGCCUUCGGGUUGUAAACCUCUUUCAGCAGGGACGAAGCCGCAAGGUGACUGUACCUGCAGAAGAAGCACCGGCUAACUACGUGCCAGCAGCCGCGGUAAUACGUAGGGUGCAAGCGUUGUCCGGAAUUAUUGGGCGUAAAGAGCUCGUAGGCGGUCUGUCGCGUCGGAUGUGAAAACUCGGGGCUCAACCCCGAGCCUG